CUUGACUUAUAAUAAGAGGUCCAGCCUGCCCAGUGAAUUUUAAACGGCCGCGGUAUCCUAACCGCGCGAAGGUAGCAUAAUCACUUGUUCUUUAAAUGGGGACUCGUAUCAACGGCAUCACGAGGGUUUUACUGUCUCCUCUUUUUGAUCAGUGAAAUUGAUCUUCCCGUGAAGAAGCGGGAAUAUUUUUAUAAGACGAGAAGACCCCAUGGAGCUUUAAACCAAAUAACAACUUAACUACUUAUCCCACAAUAAAUUUAAGCCCUGUUAUAAGGUUUUUGGUUGGGGUGACCGCGGAGUAAAGCACAUCCUCCACGACGGAAAGAACAUAAUCUUUAUUUAAGAACCACACUUCUAGAAAUUAGUAUACUAACGUUUACUGACCCGACAAUCGAUCAACGGACCA
rnacentral:rRNA from 1 species